rnacentral:rRNA from 1 species
GAUGAACGCUGGCGGCGUGCCUAAUACAUGCAAGUCGAGCGAACAGACGAGGAGCUUGCUCCUCUGACGUUAGCGGCGGACGGGUGAGUAACACGUGGAUAACCUACCUAUAAGACUGGGAUAACUUCGGGAAACCGGAGCUAAUACCGGAUAAUAUAUUGAACCGCAUGGUUCAAUAGAGAAAGACGGUUUUGCUGUCACUUAUAGAUGGAUCCGCGCCGCAUUAGCUAGUUGGUAAGGUAACGGCUUACCAAGGCAACGAUGCGUAGCCGACCUGAGAGGGUGGUCGGCCACACUGGAACUGAGACACGGUCCAGACUCCUACGGGAGGCAGCAGUAGGGAAUCUUCCGCAAUGGGCGAAAGCCUGACGGAGCAACGCCGCGUGAGUGAUGAAGGUCUUCGGAUCGUAAAACUCUGUUAUUAGGGAAGAACAAAUGUGUAAGUAACUAUGCACGUCUUGACGGUACCUAAUCAGAAAGCCACGGCUAACUACGUG